rnacentral:lncRNA from 1 species
CCAAUCGAUCAGAUCUUCCUCCAGAUCUGAGUUUGAACCUUUCUGAACCACCCACUAGACUUGACCAGCUUUUUUUGGACCCCUUAAACUCUUAGAACUAUUAGGAUUAGGCUUGUCUUAAAAGAACAAGCCUUUGUCCUAAACCCUAGAGUUGUAAAAGAGGGAGAGAGGGAAUAGAUAGGGGAUGUAAGAAUUGAAUGAUCACCCCAUCUGCCGUCUCCUAUUUAUACUACUAGAUGGGGCACCA